CCCAUGUUCUCCUCUUCCGUUACAAAACAAUUAUCUCUAUUAUUCUCCCAGAUUGUUCACCUGUUAACAACGCCAUUAUUUGCUUAAAAAAAACGCCAGUAUUGGCAACAUUUAAUACCUUUAAUUCUUAUACCUGGAUAAUAAAUUUCAUACGUUACCCUAGGAAAACAUCCCUUGGAGAUUUUCCUACAUAAACCUCAAGAGAGGUUAUUAUCUUCCCAGGUUUCUCCAUUUUUUUCUUCAGCAUACUCUCUCAAGACAUAUCCCUCCAGUUGAUUCAUUCAUCCCAGAAUUUCUCUGAAGGUGAAGGAAGUAGUAGAUUAUGAUAAUGAGGCCAAUUUUCUGUGCGAGGUUUGAAGAGAUCUUGAACAUCUCUUCUCUAAGUAUGGGACUUGGGACUGUUGAUAGAGUUGACAUGAAAUAUGGUAACUAACCAUAAACAUCUGAAUCAUCUUCUUUGUUUUAGUAUUGAAUGUUUUUUAGCUCUUAAUCUUCUGUGGGUUUACUUUGUUGCACUCAUUGUUUAUAAAUUUAAUAUAAAGUUUGAAUGUUGAUGAGGUUUGUUGAGUUUUUUCUAUUUUUGUAAAAUUAGGGAUGAAAAUCACUUGGUUUUUAGUGAUGUGAAAAUCACUGGGGGAAUGGUUGAAUAAUUUUUUUUUUCUGUUCUUUAAUUUAUCAACCUAUCUUCGAUUGUUAUAUUUGGAUAUCGGUUUCUUCAAUAUCUUCAAAUGGAAGUUAUGUUCAAUUAAAAGGGCUAUUAAUUAAGUCGGUUCAAAAAACAAAUUUGUUAAGUACUCAUGUUAAGAAGAUACGAAAUUGAAUCAACAUCUGUGGUUCUUAGUUAAAUCCAUAGUGGUGGAGCAAUUAUAAAUCAAGCACGAGCCAGAAAGACAGUGAAUCGUGGUGGCACAACAGAUGGGGAAUUAACAUAGGAAACUCAAAUGUGAAAAAUUCAUCAACUGGUAACAAGGAUGCAGACCUCAGUGACGGACCUCUAUAUGAGAUGUAAGAAUAUCGUUGUUUUACCUUUUUCAUAACUUGUAUUACACAGUCGAACAUACAUUUAACCAUUUACUCCCUAAUAUAUAAGUUGAGGGUGAAUAAAUUAUAGUUAGGAUUUGAUUUUUGUGGAUUGGCAGAGAAACCAUAGAUGAGGAGAAUACUUCAAAUGACGACCGGGUGAUACCCUAACGUACCUUUAUUUAAUUAUUAGUGUUUGAGAGCAACAUCACAUUCAGAAGUACCUUACAUUUCCUAUGAGUUGAAAACAUUUUCGUAGAUUUUAUACAAAUGGUCAUUGGGUUAAGUACAACUGCUACUGCAUAAAGUACAUUUUUUUUCCAUCUUUGUAGUUGCAUUGUUUCGAUUCAAAUAUGUAUAUAUACCCAUCUCAUCUGUUUUCGUGAACUUACAUCUCUUAUGACACAUCCCGUUCCAUGUGUAUGCACAAUGUUAUAAUGGAUUUCCAUGUAAACAACUAAGCUCAUGUUUUGUUCUUAUAGGAAUGAUUAAGGUUGUUCGAUGCCUAAUUUAUUCCAACUAUAUAUUACUAUUAAACAUAAAAUGAUUUAACGUCCAUGGUAAAUUCAGUUAAGGUCAUCUUGCCACACUUUAGUCCCUAUUUCUUCUUAUUAUUUAGUCCUCAGUGUCCAACUGAGAGCACAUGUAAUCACACUAUUGUGUUGCUAAUCGAUCCUAGCUAAUCAUCAAUUUUGAGUAUAAUUUAUCAUUCUCACUACAAUACUGAAAGCGGUGGUGGCAUUUUGGAGGUCAGGGCGUUGGACUGCCUGCGUUGGAUUUUUUGGUGCGUUAAUAGAAACGAUUUGCUUCCCCUGCACAACAACUUUAAGGAAUCAAAAAUUUAAAUGUGUCUUCAUCAUGUAAGAAACAAUGAAAGUAUCCAGUGGUUGCUCUUGCAUAAGUAAAGCUGGAUGCUGCAGUUCACAAGAUCAUAAAAAAAGAAUUGUCGAUUAGUAAUGCCUUUGGCCAUUAAUACAGGAAGGCUUACGGAACCAUAAGUGAGAUGGACUCAGGAGACAAUGAUAUCCAUGUUUCAUUCUACUACAACAGAGAAACUGACCACAGCUCCACAUACAAAAGUAUCAUUCAUCCAUGUGUGAGGUGACUAACCUCGGGAAAAAAUAAAGUUGAACCGGCACAGAGGGAAGAUGUCAGCCCCAAAUAAACGAUAGCUUCUUCUUUGUACAAGGCCAGAGAUGGAAAGAAAGGGUGCAUGCCUGGAAACUAACCAUCUACAUAUCCGCCAUUAUUUUUCAGUACAUCGUUGGGUGAUUGAGGUGUAAAAUUGGAAUUCACAUUGUUGGUGAAUGACUUCGAAUCAUUGGGUGAUUGAGUUUUAAAAUUGGGGUUCACAUUAAAACUGAAAUUUUCAUCGUCUCCGAUUAAUCGGAAAUUUGAAAAAAUGAUAAUCAUUAAUUGAGAACUAUAUUAGAGAUGCCGAAGAAGAAGGCUGACGAA